UACGGAGGGUGCGAGCGUUGUCCGGAAUCAUUGGGCGUAAAGGGCGCGUAGGCGGCCCGGUCAGUCCGUGGUGAAAGCGCGGGGCUCAACCCCGCGUCGGCCAUGGAUACUGCUGGGCUCGAGCACUGUAGAGGCAGGCGGAAUUCCGGGUGUAGCGGUGGAAUGCGUAGAGAUCCGGAAGAACACCGGUGGCGAAGGCGGCCUGCUGGGCAGUAGCUGACGCUGAGGCGCGACAGCGUGGGGAGCAAACAGG
rnacentral:rRNA from 1 species